rnacentral:misc_RNA from 1 species
GAUGAAGAACGUAGCGAAAUGCGAUACUUGGUGUGAAUUGCAGAAUCCCGCGAAUCAUCGAGUUUUUGAACGCAAGUUGCGCCCGAAGCCAUUCGGCCGAGGGCACGUCUGCCUGGGUGUCACGCAUCGUUGCCCCCCCAAACUCCGGGUUGGGCGGGGCGGAAGUUGGCCUCCCGUGCGUGCCUGCGCGCGCGGUUAGCCCAAAAGCGAGUCCUCGGCGACGAGCGCCACGACAAUCGGUGGUUUUUUUACCCUCGUUCCUCGUCGUGCGUGUCCCGUCGCCCGAACGCGCUCUUGUGACCCUCACGCGUCGCCUCAGUGGCGCUCCCAACGCGACCCCAGGUCAGGCGGGACUACCCGCUGAGUUUAAGCAUAUCAAUAAGCGGAGGA